GGUUACUUGUUUUAUAUGUUUUAUGAAAUAACUUCCUUGAACGAUUCAAGCUUUAUUAUGAUACAUUAGAAAUUUAUAGCGCUAUGCGCAACGGAGGUUUCAUAUUAUGAAACAAGGUACUGUUAAAUGGUUUAACGCCGAUAAAGGUUACGGAUUUAUUACUACUGAAGAUGGCGAUGUAUUCGUUCACUUCUCAGCUAUCAACAAAGACGGCUUCAAGACUUUAGAAGAAGGCGAAAAGGUUUCAUUGGACGUUGAAGAAGGCGACCGUGGACCACAAGCUGCUAACGUUACACCUGUUGAAGGUUAAUUCGUUAGUUAACAAAAAAGAGUUAUCGUUAAUUCGAUAACUCUUUU
rnacentral:sRNA from 1 species